CUUUUCCCUCUUCCCAUUCUAUUCUCUAGACCUAAACCCAAAGCUCUCGUUUUUUAUCCUCUAAUCUAAAAACCCUGUCUCUAAGCCAGUCUCCUCACUCACUCUUCCCCGACCCCCCUCCUUCUCUCUCUCUCUCCUGCUCCCUCAACUACGACGGUGAGGGGAUAUAUGAGGCUUCAACCACGGUGGAGGUCGACGGGGGUGACAGAGGCUCAGCGGGACUGUCGGAGGCUCGACAACGUGGACUCGGAGACUCAUUGGUGUAGUCAAAUUGAAGGAGUGAAGUCCACUCGACUUCCCUCUUACGCCACUUUUCCCCAUGUUUUGGCUUCAAACGGAGUGAACCCCUAGAGACCUUGAAGGAAACGAUGCAUUCUAGUACUUCAAAAUACUAGUGGAUGAGAAUGACCAGGUUGUUGGUCAUGAUACAAAAUAUAAUUGUCACUUGAUGGAAAAGAUUGAAAAGGAAAAUUUGCUACACAGGGCUUUCAGUGUGUUUUUGUUCAACUCGAAAUACGAGUUGCUUCUUCAGCAACGUUCUGCAACAAAGGUAACGUUUCCCCUAGUGUGGACAAACACCUGUUGCAGCCAUCCACUCUACCGUGAAUCUGAGCUGGUAAGGAUGGUGGUUGAUGAGAGCUCAGGAGGAUUUGGUUUCACAAGGAAGAAUGAGAUUAUAAAUGGGCAGGCAGCUGUAAUUGGUUUAUUGCUGUUGUUGGAUUUUGAGCUAUUGACUAGUAAAGGACUUGGCAUUUGGUGUAUCACUUUCAGCACUGCUUGGGGAUAAAUCUACAACUUUGGCGAGCUGCUAGCACAUCCUAUUAGUUAAUUUAACAGAUGAUCUUGAAGGGCUAGCUGGGUGGACUGUUGGCUUGGCAUUUGUUGGAAUGUCAAUUGCAGUGCUUCCAAUAUGUCCUGUGUUGGACACAAGAGAGAGGUCAUUCUUGAAAAACAACUGGUACAGAUUACAGAUGCUGAACAGAGAGAAGUAGAUACCUGGCACUUCAUGUAAACAACCCCUUGGCUAGGUUUACUUCCCAGUGCUGAUGGGCAAGUAUUACAUCCUCAAGAUGGUGGAGAUAGUCCAAUUCUCUGUCUCUUUAAAUUAGUCACUGCUGCAAUAUUAUCUAAGCCAGGGAAAUCAAAUCAUUGUUUCCUGCCGAUUGCAGUCCAUUCUAAGCUGGUUUUGGAAAUAGAGAUACAGAUGAAGUUAGUUACCUUAAGGUCAGAAUUCCACUAGGAAAAAUCUUCAUUAUCAAUCCCAAGAUUAUUUAUACCUCUCACCAUAGCCCAUAAUCUCUCUCUCUCUCUCUCUCUCUCUCUCUCUCUCUCUCUCUGUCAUACUAUACACAACAUAGCAUUGAAGAAGUACGUUGAAUCUUUUGUGUCUCUUUCUUGCUUUAACUGAAGAAUUUGAUAGCUUUCAUCAAGUUUGGUGACGACUGCAUACUUUUCUGGGGUGUAAAUGAUCACAGUGAAAAUGGUGUUGAAAAAAAACUUCUGGGUUAUUUUUGUUCUACUCCUUUUAGGAUUUGCAGCUAAUUUAUACACUGCAAAACGCGCUCCUCGGCCUAGGCCUCGCCAGAUUCUCUUGGAUACAAAUGUUGAUACGGGUGAUUUCUUUGCUCUGCUCUACCUCUUAAAGCUUAACAGAUCAGAGUUUGAGUUAGAGGGUGUGACUAUCAACACAAAUGCCUAGACUGAUGCUGGACAUUCUGUGAAUCAAAUCUAUGACAUCCUUUACAUGAUGGGGCGUGAUGAUAUCGCUAUUGGAGUUAGCAGCGAAGGUGGAAUACUAGAAGAUGGUACCAUUCAUCCUAAUGUUGUUUAUGUAUGUCAGGGUGUUACAACCACUGGGGGAUGUAGAUAUAGACAAGCUAUCCCAGUAGGUAUUGGAGGUCGUCUGGAUGUUGAUACAAAUUUUGGCAUUAGAAAAGCUUUUCUUCCUCAGGGAAGCAGGAGAUAUAGACCUAUUAAACAACCAACUACUCAGUAGGUAAUGUAUGAGAAAAUAUCUCCAGGUCCUAUAACUGUUAUGGUUAUAGGAGCAUUUACAAACUUAGCCAUUUUCCUUAUGAGAAAUCCACAUUUGAAGAAAAAUGUGGAGCAUAUUUUUGUCAUGGGGGUUGGAAUGAGAUCGAAGAACCCAACAGGUUGUUAUUAGUCUUAUGACUUCCUACACUUUGGUUUUGAGGGUACUGCAAGAGUACUGAUAGAGUGGCUAUUAAGCAUGUGAACAAUUGAAUUCAUAGCUUGUUGCAGUAAUUAGCUAGAAAAGGAAAGCCAGACUUGUUCUGUUCUGCUUCUAGUUUUAUUGAUGUUGUUAUGUCUACCAUUUCUCUUGCUUCUGAUGGUACAUUUAGGUUUGCUCUUGAUGUUGUACUUCCUUUGAUAAUUCUAGAUAUGCAUGUGUUUUGGUUUCCUCAGUUUUUAUAGCUUCUUUCACUACUGUAAUUUUCAACUUUUAUGU